GACGAACGCUGGCGGCGUGCUUAACACAUGCAAGUCGAACGAUGAAGCUAGAGCUUGCUCUGGUGAAUUAGUGGCGAACGGGUGAGUAACACGUGAGUAACCUGCCCCGAACUCUGGGAUAACUGCUGGAAACGGUAGCUAAUACUGGAUACGACCUACGAAGGCAUCUUCUGUAGGUGGAAAGAAUUUCGGUUCGGGAUGGACUCGCGGCCUAUCAGCUUGGUGGUGAGGUAAUGGCUCACCAAGGCGACGACGGGUAGCCGGCCGGAGAGGGUGACCGGCCACACUGGGACUGAGACACGGCCCAGACUCCUACGGGAGGCAGCAGUGGGGAAUAUUGCACAAUGGGCGCAAGCCUGAUGCAGCAACGCCGCGUGAGGGAUGACGGCCUUCGGGUUGUAAACCUCUUUUAGUAGGGAAGAAGCGAAAGUGACGGUACCUGCAGAAAAAGCACCGGCUAACUACGUGCCAGCCGCCGCGGUAA
rnacentral:rRNA from 1 species